UACGAGGGGGCAAAUGUUGUUCGGAAUCACUGGGCGUAAAGGGAGCGUAGGCGGGUUUCUAAGUCAGGUGUUUAAUCCCGGGGCCCAACCCCGGACAGGCACUUGAAACUGGGAAUCUUGAAUAGUGGAGAGGUCAGUGGAAUUGGGGUGUAGCGGUGGAAUGCGUAGAGAUCCCCAAGAACACCAGUUGCGAAGGCGGCUGACUGGACACAUAUUGACGCUGAGGCUCGAAAGCAUGGGAGCAACAGGG
rnacentral:rRNA from 1 species